rnacentral:misc_RNA from 1 species
AAGUCGUAACAAGGUAACCGUAGGUGAACCUGCGGUUGGAUCAUUAAAAAAUGUUUGGUCUCGUACCAAAUGAACACUUGUGUGCACCAAAUGUCUGUCCUUGGUAGUUCGAGUUGCACUCUGGGAAUUCAACACUCUCGGAGUGCCUACUGUUUCUCACAUGGCUGUGUCCAACCUGCGGAGCGUGCGUUGGUGAUGGAAGAUUUGUGAAUAGGACUCAUGUUUAGGCAUGAGAUGCGUUUGCAAAUGCACUUCGCCAACACGGGCCUUGCUUGUUGGACGCGGGCCGAGUUGCAGUUGGGCUACCGACCAUGCCAAACAACUUUUUUUUCUUUUUGUCUGAACUUUUUAAGACUUGAUCUUAAAGUUUUAAUGUAUCUUAUACAACUUUUGACAACGGAUCUCUUGGCUCUC